rnacentral:rRNA from 1 species
CCUACGGGCGGCAGCAGUGAGGAAUAUUGGUCAAUGGGCGGAAGCCUGAACCAUCCACUUAGCUUGCAGGAUGACGGCCCUACUGGUUGUAAACUGCUUUUUUACGGGAAUAACGCGCCUUACGUUUAGGGCUUUGCAUGUCUCUUAUGAAUAAGGACCGGCUACUUCCUGGCCAGCAGCCGCGGUAAUACGGAGGGUCCGGGCGUUAUCCGGAUUUAUUGGGUUUAAAGGGAGCGUAGACGGGAUGUCAAGCGUGCUGUGAAAUGUCCGGGCUCAACCCGAGCCUUGCAGCGCUGACUGGCAUGCUUGAGUCCGCGGAAAGCAGGCGGAAGUCGUGGUGUAGCGGUGAAAUGCUUAGAUAUGACGAAGAACCCCGAUUGCGAAGGCAGCUUGCUGCAGCGGAACUGACGCUGAUGCUCGAAAGCGCGGGUAUCGAACAGGAUUAGAUACCCCAGUAGUC